rnacentral:rRNA from 1 species
CCUGGUAGUCCACGCCGUAAACGAUGUCGAUUUGGAGGUUGUGCCCUUGAGGCGUGGCUUCCGGAGCUAACGCGUUAAAUCGACCGCCUGGGGAGUACGGCCGCAAGGUUAAAACUCAAAUGAAUUGACGGGGGCCCGCACAAGCGGUGGAGCAUGUGGUUUAAUUCGAUGCAACGCGAAGAACCUUACCUGGUCUUGACAUCCACAGAACUUUCCAGAGAUGGAUUGGUGCCUUCGGGAACUGUGAGACAGGUGCUGCAUGGCUGUCGUCAGCUCGUGUUGUGAAAUGUUGGGUUAAGUCCCGCAACGAGCGCAACCCUUAUCCUUUGUUGCCAGCGGUCCGGCCGGGAACUCAAAGGAGACUGCCAGUGAUAAAACUGGAGGAAGGUGGGGAUGACGUCAAGUCAUCAUGGCCCUUACGACCAGGGCUACACACGUGCUACAAUGGCAUAUACAAAGAGAAGCGACCUCGCGAGAGCAAGCGGACCUCAUAAAGUAUGUCGUAGUCCGGA